GUGCCAGCCGCCGCGGUAAUACCGGCAGCUCAAGUGAUGUCCCAUAUUAUUGGGCCUAAAGCGUCCGUAGCUGGCCGACCAAGUCUCCCGGGAAAUCCACCCGCCCAAUGGGUGGGCGUCCGGUAGUAACUGGCCGGCUUGGAACCGGAAGGCUCAGAGAGUACGUCCGGGGUAGGAGUGAAAUCCCGUAAUCCCGGACGGACUACCGAUGGCGAAAGCACUUCGAGAAAACGGAUCCGACAGUGAGGGACGAAAGCCAGGGUCUCCAACCGGAUUAGAUACCCCGGUAGUCC
rnacentral:rRNA from 1 species